CUGUAAAGUGGGGAUAAUAGCAGGAUUUAUCAUAGGGUUCUUGUGCUGCUUAAAUGGCACAUAGUUGGUGAUUAAUAUAUUAUUUUGUUAAUAAUUAGAUACAUUAUGAUACCAGUCAUAAUUAAAAAUGCAGAAUACCAAAAUUAAAAGAAGUUUAAUUCUGGGUUGUAGAGUUCUUGUUUCUGUCUUUAUGCUUUUUUUAGUGCUUUCUCAUUUUCUCUAAUAAUAAAAUUAAUACUGAAAACAGCCAUAUAUUCAUAGAGUGUGCCUAUUUCCAUUAAUUUUUUUUUUUUUUUUUUCCGAGACUGAGUCUCACUCUGUUGUCCAGGCUGGAGUGCAUGACGUGAUCUUGGCUCACUGGAAACUCCGCCUCCCAGGUUCAAGCAAUUCUCCUGCCUCAGCCCCCUCAGUAGCUGGGAUUACAGUGUUGCACUUUUCUACAAUUUUGGAAAAUCUUGGAAAUCAGAUCCAGGGAUUAUUAAAGCAACAGAAGAGCAAAAGAAAAAGACAAUAGUUGAACUUGCAGAGACAGGAAGUCUGGACCUCAGUAUAUUCUGCAGUACCUGUUUGAUACGAAAACCGGUGAGGUCCAAACAUUGUGGUGUGUGCAACCGCUGUAUAGCAAAAUUUGAUCAUCAUUGCCCAUGGGUGGGUAACUGUGUAGGUGCAGGCAACCAUAGAUAUUUUAUGGGCUACCUAUUCUUCUUGCUUUUUAUGAUCUGCUGGAUGAUUUAUGGUUGUAUAUCUUACUGGGGACUCCACUGUGAGACCACUUACACCAAGGAUGGAUUUUGGACAUACAUUACUCAGAUUGCCACGUGUUCACCUUGGAUGUUUUGGAUGUUCCUGAACAGUGUUUUCCACUUCAUGUGGGUGGCUGUAUUACUCAUGUGUCAGAUGUACCAGAUAUCAUGUUUAGGUAUUACUACAAAUGAAAGAAUGAAUGCCAGGAGAUACAAGCACUUUAAAGUCACAACAACGUCUAUUGAAAGCCCAUUCAAGUAUGUACAUAUUUAUAAAUUUAAUAUUUUACCUGGUCAUAAAAAUUUUCUUACUAACCAGACUCUUUUACUUAGUGAUAUGUAAAAUAGCUUUUAAACCUUUUUAAGAUUUCUGUAGAAAUAGCAUCAGUUCACCAUAAUAACAACAAAACAGAAUUCAUCACAUUAACUGUAUAUAAUAAAGUUGUGAUAUCUCCUU
rnacentral:lncRNA from 10 species